rnacentral:lncRNA from 1 species
AGAAAGCCCUUAUUCCCGCCCCUUUGCCCAUGUCUUGCUUCUGUGCUUCAAAAGCAGGCUCAAAAUGUAAACACCAUUUAUUGAUUUUUUUUCUUUCAUAACAUCAACCUACAGAAGACCUAGUCACAGUUACAGAAUAGAAUGUAAAUCAUUCAUUCAUUGAGUAACUACUUGCUGACAAGCAUGAUAUGAAUGAGACAUGGUGUCUGCUCUCAAUGAGCUCACUGUCUAGGAGAAAACACCAACCCUGAGACUGACAAUGGCCUGCAGUGCGGCCAGUGCUGUGUGAGCAAGGCUAGGGGAGAGGCACCUACCCAAGGUGUGUUGCAGAAGGCCUCCUGGAGGUUUGCAUCUAGUCCUGAGAAAGAAGCAGUGCGUCAGUUUCCUAUUGCUGCUGGAACAAAUUGCACACAUGUAGUGGCUUAAAACCCCAGAAAUUUAUUGUCUUACAGUUCUGGAGGCCAGAAGUCUGAAGAGAGUCUUACGCAAUUAAAAUUAAAGUGUUGGGCUGGGCGCGGUGGCUCAUGCCUGUAAUCCCAGCAAUUUGGGAGGCCAAGGUCAGGAGUUUGAGACCAGCUUGGUCAACAUGGCGAUAAGGGAGGAGACCACCCCUCAUAUUGUCUUAUGCCCAAUUUCUGCCUCCAAAGAAAGAAGAAAUAAAAACUAAAAGGCAAAAAUGAAAUCCACAAGCAGACAGCCCAGCGCCACACCUGGGCCUGGUAGUUAAAGAUCGACCCCUGACCUAAUUGGUCAUAUUAUCUAUAGAUUACAGACAUUGUAUAGAAAAGCACUGUGAAAAUCCCUGUCCUGUUCUGUUCCGUUCUAAUUACUGGUACAUGCAGCCCCCAGUCACGUACCCCCUGCUUGCUCAAUCGAUCAUGACCCUCUCACGUGGACCUCCUUAGAGUUGUGAGCCCUUAAAAGGGACAGGAAUUGCUCACUUGGAGAGCUCGGUUGUUGGAGACGUGAGUCUUGCCGAAGCUCCCAGCCGAAUAAAGCCCU